CCUACGGGUGGCUGCAGUCGAGAAUAUUCCUCAAUGCCCGAAAGGGUGAAGGAGCGACGCCGCGUGCAGGAAGACGCCCCUCGGGGUGUAAACUGCUUUUACAUGGGACGAAUUCGUGACGGUACCAUGGGAAUAAGAGGCCGCUAACCUCGUGCCAGCAGCGGCGGUAAUACGAGGGCCUCGAGCGUUGUCCGGAAUUACUGGGCGUAAAGCGUCUACAGGCGGUUAGAAUAGUUUCCAGUCAAAUCUUCAGGCUCAACCUGGAGUUCGCUGGAAAUACUUUUUAACUAGAGGGUGGGAAAGGUAAGCGGAAUAGCCGGUGUAGUAGUAAAAUGCGUUGAUAUCGGCUAGAACACCAAAUGCGAAGGCAGCUUACUGGAACAUUCCUGACGCUCACUGGACGAAAGCGUGGGUAGCGAAUGGGAUUAGAUACCCUUGUAGUC
rnacentral:rRNA from 1 species